rfam:Marine metagenome ctg_1101668559858, whole genome shotgun sequence.
ACAGUCCCACCAGUCUAAUGACUAACCAUCAGGACUGUACCAACCCCUCCGCGUACCAUGGUGACAAGGUACGUGAAGCAGAGGGCAAGGGAAAUACCAGGCCAUAAGCCAAAUAAGGUUGAAGGUUGUUAGCCACGAAAGUUAUUAAUUGCGGAGGUCAAUCGCGUUCAUAUGCGGAAAGACAACAUUACCCUAGACAUUAUGGGUGAGUCUAAGGUAGCUCUGCCGGGGUCUUAAGACC